GACGAACGCUGGCGGCGUGCCUAAUACAUGCAAGUAGAACGCAGCUGCGAACGGGUGAGUAAUGCGUAGGUAACUGCCGCAUAGCGGGGGUAAACUCUGGGAAACGAUAGCUAAUACCGCAAAUUGUGAGAGUGACCUGCGUUGUAUUUGGUAGUUGGUGAGGUAAAGGCUCACCAAGGCGACGAUACACAGCCGACCUGAGAGGGAGAUCGGCCACACCGGGACAGGCACACGGCCCAGGCUCCUUCGGGAGGGAACAGGAGGGAAUCAUCGGCAAAUGACGGAAGUCUGACCGAGCAAAGCCGCGGGAGUGGAGGAAGGUUUCGGAUCGUAAAACUAUGUUGAUAGGGAAGCGGUAACUGACGAGGAAGGAACGGCUAACUACGUGCCAGCAGCCGCGGUAAUAC
rnacentral:rRNA from 1 species